UCGAGCGCUGAUUUCAAGGUAGCAAUAUUUUGAAGUCGGAGCGGCGCAAGGGUGCGUAACACGUGGGUAAUCUGCCAUGAAGUUUGGAAUAACUUGCUGAAAGGCGAGCUAAUGCCGGAUGUGACAAUUGAUUGGCAUCAGUUGAUUGUCAAAGCUGGGGACCGUAAGGCCUGGCGCUUCAUGAUGAGCCCGCGGCCUAUCAGCUAGUUGGUGAGGUAACGGCUCACCAAGGCUAAGACGGGUAGCUGGUCUGAGAGGACGACCAGCCACACUGGAACUGAGACACGGUCCAGACACCUACGGGUGGCAGCAGUCGAGAAUUUUUCACAAUGGGGGCAACCCUGAUGGAGCGACGCCGCGUGGGGGAUGAAUGGCUUCGGCCCGUAAACCCCUGUCAUUCGCGAUCAACCCUUAUUAUUUAAAAGAUGAUAAGCUGAUAGUAGCGGAAGAGGAAGGGACGGCUAACUCUGUGCCAGCAGCCGCGGUAAUACAGAGGUCCCAAGCGUUGUUCGGAUUCACUGGGCGUAAAGGGUGCGUAGGUGGUGAGGUAAGUCGGAUGUGAAAUCUCGGAGCUCAACUCCGAAACUGCAUUGGAAACUACCUUGCUCGAGGAAUGGAGGGGGGACUGGAAUUCACGGUGUAGCA
rnacentral:rRNA from 1 species